rfam:Geoalkalibacter subterraneus strain Red1, complete genome.
GUCCCUAUCGUCUAGCCCGGCCCAGGACACCGGCCUUUCACGCCGGCGACGGGGGUUCGAAUCCCCCUGGGGACG